GCCAGGCAUCAGUGAACCAUACCAGUGAGCAAGGAGAGUGGGUGAAAGGAAGAGAGUGAGACAGGCAGAACAGUCUACAGGCUGGGGAGAGAGACAGAUCUGAAGAGCUUUGUUCUGUCCCUGGAUAAGAAGUGGUAUUAAAAGAUACAUCAGAUACCACAGGAAUAAGAAGAGCUUGACAGAGUCUUCUUCCUGAAAUGUCAGUGGUUGAACAAUCAGAAAUGGAAGAAUAAAGGAAAUGUCAGACCGAUCUACAUUAGAGAGUAUGAUCACAAAAUUAAUUUGCAUUGCUUUUUGGAACCCAAAAGGAUUACAAGAAAAAAACCAGACUUAGACUACAGGCCUCAAGAAGGUAUUACAGUACCAAUUACCAAAGACAACUCUAGCAUCAUGACAAAGUUACAGUAUAUUAUAAAAUGCAUUAUAAAGCAUUCUGACUGUAGCUUGAAAACUUGGAAUUUACUCAAAGUGAUAUCAUAUGAGAGUGAAUACGAAAUCC